UUGUAUUUAAUUUGCAGCCCAUCAGUAUGCCUCCGCUAGCCCUUCCUUUUCUAUUAAUUUUAAUUGCUGGUUGCCACUUAGUUGUAUGGUUCGGGAAAUAUGGUUCAAAUUUAAUGUUAUGUUCUUCAGUUACAUGAGUUUCAAUUAAUAUAAAAAUUUCAAAUUCAUUAAUAAAGUUUAAAAAAUCUAAAGUUUGAAUCUUAUUAUUUAAACCUGCUAUAUUAUAACUUAAUAUUCUAACGUUAACGUUAACUAUAUUUGAAUUCUGGCAGACGGCAUCUACCUAGUUCAUUAUAUUAUUUUUUAAGUUGGAAUGUGCUGAAGUGUUAACCCCUGAGUCCCAACUGCUGAUUUGCAUUGUGUUUCCAGCCGAAGAUGUGCUUUGCCCAACUGACGUUUCUUGAUGAAUGACGUUUAGUCUGACAUCUCUUCGUGAAUUUUGUUGAAUUUGUAAACAGAUUUGAUGAAAAAAGUUUUUUUCCAGUGAAACUUUCAUCCGAGGUUGAGUGGUCUGAAUAUGUUUUCUCAACUGUAAGAGCUUGCUACGCUUCUGUCGGAUGGCUGGUGGGUAAUCCCGACUUACGGAUGCUCCGGUUCCUUUCAGCCUUUUUGCAUUCCUCAGAACCUUAAAUGCAUUGUUUUUGUUUUUAAAUUCUGCCAAAGUUGUAACUGUGCCAUUCGCUGAGCUUAUCUCCCGUAUAUCUUGGAUAGUAAUUAUAUCCUGCGACUCCGAUAAAGUUUUGCAGAUGUUUUCGGUUUCUAUGAGUGGAUCGUUUGAGCUUUUUUUCAGUCGAAAAACUAAGUUGGCCGCAUUUGCUGAGGUUUUAAUCUGGUUAAUUUCGUUUUGCAGGGAAAUGCACUUUGUGUUUAAAGAAAUCAGUGACUCCUUCAGUUUCUCAUUUUCAGUUUUAACCUCAAUGAUUUCACUGCGAAGUCCAACAAUGUCAUCCUUCGUAGCAACGUCUUUGAGUUUUAAGUCGAACAUUUGGCGUAAUUCCUGGAUGGACAUGGAUCCGACUAAUUGAGACAUGUUUUUUUCUUUUUUUGAGUUAAACGUUGCUAAUUCGGGGGAGGUCUCACCAACUUUGCGCUUAUUGCUCAUCAAUAAAUUUUAAUGUAUAUAUAUUAAGUUUACUUAAAAUGGCUACUAUUAUUCUUGUUAAUGACUGUGUGAACUUUAAAAUUGAUUCAAAUAGUGAUACUAGUUUAAAAUUGGAAAAUCUGUGAAUCACACUUGCCUUUCGGUUUCCGGUUUGGUCACUUUAAGUUGAAAAAUAAUUUUAUAACUUUUUAUUAGUUAAAGAAAAUAAAAAAUUUGUACAGA